UACGAAGAGGGCUAGCGUUGCUCGGAAUCACUGGGCGUAAAGCGCACGUAGGCGGAUCUUUAAGUCAGGGGUGAAAUCCCGGAGCUCAACUCCGGAACUGCCUUUGAUACUGGGGAUCUUGAGUUCGAGAGAGGUGAGUGGAACUGCGAGUGUAGAGGUGAAAUUCGUAGAUAUUCGCAAGAACACCAGUGGCGAGGGCGGCUCACUGGCUCGAUACUGACGCUGAGGUGCGAAAGCGUGGGGAGCAAACAGG
rnacentral:rRNA from 1 species